rnacentral:rRNA from 1 species
UACGUAGGGUGCAAGCGUUGUCCGGAAUUAUUGGGCGUAAAGAGCUCGUAGGCGGUUUGUCGCGUCUGCUGUGAAAACCUAAGGCUCAACCUUGGGCUUGCAGUGGGUACGGGCAGACUAGAGUGCGGUAGGGGGUGACUGGAAUUCCUGGUGUAGCGGUGGAAUGCGCAGAUAGUCAGGAGGAACACCGGUGGCGAAGGCGGUUC